GACGAACCGAGCGAACGUUGUUCGGAAUCACUGGGCUUAAAGGGCGCGUAGGCGGGCCGCCAAGUCCGUGGUGAAAUCCCCCGGCUCAACCGGGGAAGUGCCUCGGAUACUGGCGGCCUCGAGGGGGGUAGGGGCGUGCGGAACUUCCGGUGGAGCGGUGAAAUGCGUAGAUAUCGGAAGGAACAUCCGAGGCGAAAGCGGCUCGCUGGAUCACAACUGACGCUGAGGGACGAAAGCUAGGGGAGCAAACAGG
rnacentral:rRNA from 1 species